rnacentral:snRNA from 1 species
GGGUGUGAGGGUGAUCUGGUUGCGACAUUUGUCACCCCACUGAUUGCCAGGGUUGAUUCCGCUGAUCUGGCUGGCUAUGCAGGUGUCCCCUUCCUCCCUCAUCACUCCAUGUGUGUCCCUCCUGAAGCUGUGUGCUAUGUAGAAGAGGAUGACUGUCCUGGUUAGAGGAAGACCGUUUCCUCAGUCAAGUGUAUACCAGUAGCUGUGCUUCUCUGAUAGAACCUCCAAACAAGCUCUCAAAAAUACAACAAAUCAUCAAAAAGACAAUACAUCAUGACUAAGUGGACUCCAU